GGCGCCGGUGACCUAUUGGUUGAGUAUCCGCCUCGGAUGUGGGAGGUCAUGGGCUUAAACCCCAGCCGAGUCA